AAUCAACGCUGGCGGCGUGCCUCAGGCAUGCAAGUCGAACGAUUAAACUUUCCUUCGGGGAAGAUAUAAAGUGGCGCACGGGUGAGUAACACGUAGGUAAUCUACCUUUGAGUGGGGAAUAACUUAGGGAAACUUAAGCUAAUACCGCAUAAUGCAGCGGCAUCGCAAGAUGACAGUUGUUAAAGGAGCAAUCCGCUUAAAGAGGAGCCUGCGGCAGAUUAGCUAGUUGGAAGGUAACGGCUUACCAAGGCAACGAUCUGUAACCGACCUGAGAGGGUGGUCGGUCACACUGACACUGAAUAACGGGUCAGACUCCUACGGGAGGCAGCAGUCGGGAAUUUUGGGCAAUGGGCGAAAGCCUGACCCAGCAACG
rnacentral:rRNA from 1 species